UUCAUGCAUUUCCUGCAUUUUCAGUGUUACUUCGAUCGAUCAACAUUCAAUUAUGAUUCUUCAUCUUCCAUUUCGAUCGAUCGAAGCAAGUGUUGGAUUGAUCGAAGAUCUCUUCGAUCGAUUGAAAAUGCGUCUUUUGAAAUUCUGAGAAUUGCUUUGAUCAUUGGGUUUCCAAACCCUAAAUCAUUUUAUUUUUUUUUUUAAUUUUUAAUGUUAUUUUUCUCUCUCCUCCUUUCUUUUCUUUUUCUUUAUCCUUUUCUUUCUUUCUCUACCUCUUCGUCUUCCUCAACUCUCGGUGUUCUCUUUCUCCCCAAAACCCUCACCCUCUCAAUCUCUAACCCUCUCAUUCUCUAACCCUCUCAUCUCUCCAUAUCUCUCUCGCACUCCAGCAAAGGAAGAUGAACCAACCCAACCCUCACCAUCUCUCUCGUAUCUAGCGAAACCAUCCCAAGACGAAUCCAAGUCACUGAUCUCUAUUUUCGCCAGUGCGAAAGCUUUUUGGCCAUACGGCCAAGCUUUCUCUUUCCCCUCGCCCUAUUCUCCAUCAAAAGUCUUUAAAAUCUCGAUUUCCGACCGAUUUAGGCCAAGGAGGAUUCGAAUCCUCACUCCAGCAAGCUCUGCAAUUUCCAGUCAUCACUUCUGGCCACAGGUUGGCCGGAACACUCUUGGUUUCAUCCCAAAUUUUUCUUUUCAUCUCCUCUUCCAAUUCUUGAGCUGGAUAUAGCGUAGGCAAAAGACUCUUGCUAGAAAAAGAGUACCCAAAGCUCUACAGCCUCCUCUAUCUCUUGAGGUGGAAUCAUCAUCUUUAUCUUCUAAGGCUACCCCAUCUGUAUCAGCUCAUUUAAAGCCAUCUUUUAUGGAGGCACAGGGUCCCAUUAUCCGAGCAGUGCCUACACAAUUUUUCUCAAACAGGAAACUUGAGCCAAAGUACAGAUUUGAUAGAGACUUAUUGAUGAGCGCUGAAAAGUGUUUAUCCCUAAAAUAAGCUAAUUUAGCCAAAUAAGAGCUUAAAAGAAGCUAACUAAAGCUGGAUGGAAGAAAUGAGCAAAGUGGAAGCAGAAUGAAGCAAAGUGUGGAAAUCAGCAUGUUCGAUCGAUCGAAAGUUCAUCGAUCUAGACUCUCCAAGAUGGAUCCAAGCACUUUUGUCCUUAUCUAAAGAUCCCACAAAGUUCGAUCGAUCCAACAAUUCUCAGAUCGAUCGAAAAGAUUCCAUCUUAUCCUGUUGUACCACCCCACCUACCACUUUUGUCUCUCUCUCUAAAAUAUCUCAGAUCUGUCCUUAUCCAAAAAGGCACCGCCAUGGGAGGAUCGAUCCAGCCAAAGUUUGAUAGAUCUCAGCUAAGUUCAAUCGAUCUCAGCAUAGGUUCGAUCGAUUGAACCCUCUUAAGUGUGAAUUAAAUUAAUUUCCAGAUCAUUAAAAGUUGUCUCAUUGUGCAAUCAUUGGAGGAGCCCUUUUGUAUGAGCCUAGAUCAUUGGGUGUAACAUUUGAGCUUCCUAUACAAGGAUUAUGAGCCACUUUUACAAUGAGUUUUUUAUGAUAUGCUUUUAGGAGUUGAUAGAUACAACAUUUUGAUUUUUUCUUAGAGAGGAAGAAAAGAGAAGAGGAGGCUAGAGACACAUUCUUGGGAGGUCUUCCAUCUAACUCAAGAAGAAGAGCAUUUCUACCAUAGAGAUAACCCUUGAGGGUUGGAGGACACCAUUCAUGAGUGGCUAGACAUCCUCUUGGGGCUAGAGUUAGCCCUAAGCAUAUUUUCUUUACCUCCAUUUAUAUAUUUUUGAGGGGAUUUGUGUUGUAAUACAUAUUUUGACAUAUUUUUAUAC